UACAGGGGGGGGCAAGCGUUUGUUCGGAAUUACUGGGCGUAAAGGGCUCGUAGGUGGCCAACUAAGUCAGACGUGAAAUCCCUCAGCUUAACUGGGGAACUGCGUCUGAUACUGGAUGGCUUGAGUUUGGGAGAGGGAUGCGGAAUUCCAGGUGUAGCGGUGAAAUGCGUAGAUAUCUGGAGGAACACCGGUGGCGAAGGCGGCAUCCUGGACCAACACUGACACUGAGGAGCGAAAGCGUGGGGAUCAAACAGG
rnacentral:rRNA from 1 species